rnacentral:rRNA from 1 species
GAUGAACGCUGGCGGCGUGCCUAAUACAUGCAAGUCGAGCGAACAGACGAGGAGCUUGCUCCUCUGACGUUAGCGGCGGACGGGUGAGUAACACGUGGAUAACCUACCUAUAAGACUGGGAUAACUUCGGGACACCGGAGCUAAUACCGGAUAAUAUAUUGAACCGCAUGGUUCAAUAGUGAAAGACGGUUUUGCUGUCACUUAUAGAUGGAUCCGCGCCGCAUUAGCUAGUUGGUAAGGUAACGGCUUACCAAGGCGACGAUGCGUAGCCGACCUGAGAGGGGGAUCGGCCACACUGGAACUGAGACACGGUCCAGACGCCUAAGGGAGGCAGCAGUAGGGAAUCUUCCGCAAUGGGCGAAAGCCUGACGGAGCAACGCCGCGUGAGUGAUGAAGGUCUUCGGAUCGUAAAACUCUGUUAUUAGGGAAGAACAAAUGUGUAAGUAACUAUGCACGUCUUGACGGUACCUAAUCAGAAAGCCACGGCUAACUACGUG